rnacentral:rRNA from 1 species
UACGGGGGGGGCAAGCGUUGUUCGGAAUUACUGGGCGUAAAGGGCUCGUAGGCGGCCAACUAAGUCAGACGUGAAAUCCCUCGGCUUAACCGGGGAACUGCGUCUGAUACUGGAUGGCUUGAGGUUGGGAGAGGGAUGCGGAAUUCCAGGUGUAGCGGUGAAAUGCGUAGAUAUCUGGAGGAAUACCGGUGGCGAAGGCGGCAUCCUGGACCGGCAUUGACGCUGAGUGAGCGAAAGCCAGGGGAGCAACGGG